rnacentral:rRNA from 1 species
AUUGAACGCUGGCGGCAUGCUUUACACAUGCAAGUCGAACGGUAACGGGUUAAGCUGACGAGUGGCGAACGGGUGAGUAAUGCAUCGGAACGUGCCCGGUCGUGGGGGAUAACGCAGCGAAAGUUGCGCUAAUACCGCAUACGAUCUGAGGAUGAAAGCGGGGGACCGUAAGGCCUCGCGCGAUCGGAGCAGCCGAUGUCAGAUUAGGUAGUUGGUGGGGUAAAGGCUCACCAAGCCAACGAUCUGUAGCUGGUCUGAGAGGACGACCAGCCACACUGGGACUGAGACACGGCCCAGACUCCUACGGGAGGCAGCAGUGGGGAAUUUUGGACAAUGGGCGAAAGCCUGAUCCAGCAAUGCCGCGUGCAGGAAGAAGGCCUUCGGGUUGUAAACUGCUUUUGUACGGAGCGAAAAGGUCUCCUCUAAUACAGGGGGCUCAUGACGGUACCGUAAGAAUAAGCACCGGCUAACUACGUGCCAGCCGCCGCCGUAA